CAAUCAAACCGGGAGAUAGCUGGUUCUCCCCGAAAGCUAUUUAGGUAGCGCCUCGUGAAUUCAUCUCCGGGGGUAGAGCACUGUUUCGGCUAGGGGGCCAUCCCGGCUUACCAACCCGAUGCAAACUGCGAAUACCGGAGAAUGUUAUCACGGGAGACACACGGCGGGUGCUAACGUCCGUCGUGAAGAGGGAAACAACCCAGACCGCCAGCUAAGGUCCCAAAGUCAUGGUUAAGUGGGAAACGAUGUGGGAAGGCCCAGACAGCCAGGAUGUUGGCUUAGAAGCAGCCAUCAUUUAAAGAAAGCGUAAUAGCUCACUGGUCGAGUCGGCCUGCGCGGAAGAUGUAACGGGGCUAAACCAUGCACCGAAGCUGCGGCAGCGAACGUAUCACCCAAGACAACUUUACGGAGUUGACGAUUGACGGAGCGAAGCGACGUCAAAGCGUUCAUUAAAGUCGAGUUGGCUUAGGGAUACGUUCGUUGGGUAGGGGAGCGUUCUGUAAGCCUGUGAAGGUGUGUCGUGAGGCAUGCUGGAGGUAUCAGAAGUGCGAAUGCUGACAUAAGUAACGAUAAAGCGGGUGAAAAGCCCGCUCGCCGGAAGACCAAGGGUUCCUGUCCAACGUUAAUCGGGGCAGGGUGAGUCGACCCCUAAGGCGAGGCCGAAAGGCGUAGUCGAUGGGAAACGGGUUAAUAUUCCCGUACUUGGUGUUACUGCGAAGGGGGGACGGAGAAGGCUAUGUUGGCCGGGCGACGGUUGUCCCGGUUUAAGCGUGUAGGUGUGUGUUCCAGGUAAAUCCGGUUCACUUUAACACUGAGGCGUGACGACGAGGCACUACGGUGCUGAAGCAACAAAUGCCCUGCUUCCAGGAAAAGCCUCUAAGCAUCAGGUAACAUCAAAUCGUACCCCAAACCGACACAGGUGGUCAGGUAGAGAAUACCAAGGCGCUUGAGAGAACUCGGGUGAAGGAACUAGGCAAAAUGGUGCCGUAACUUCGGGAGAAGGCACGCUGACAC
rnacentral:rRNA from 2 species